CAGCAGCCGCGGGAAUACGUAGGGUGCAAGCGUUAAUCGGAAUUACUGGGCGUAAAGCGUGCGCAGGCGGUUAUAUAAGACAGAUGUGAAAUCCCCGGGCUCAACCUGGGAACUGCAUUUGUGACUGUAUAGCUAGAGUACGGCAGAGGGGGAUGGAAUUCCGCGUGUAGCAGUGAAAUGCGUAGAUAUGCGGAGGAACACCAAUGGCGAAGGCAAUCCCCUGGGCCUGUACUGACGCUCAUGCACGAAAGCGUGGGGAGCAAACAGGAUUAGAUACCCGCGUAGUCCCUGUCUCUUAUAA
rnacentral:rRNA from 1 species